CCUACGGGUGGCUGCAGUGGGGGAUAUUGCACAAUGGGGGAAACCCUGAUGCAGCGACGCCGCGUGAGUGAAGAAGUAUUUCGGUAUGUAAAGCUCUAUCAGCAGGGAAGAAAAUGACAGUACCUGACCAAGAAGCCCCGGCUAACUACGUGCCAGCAGCCGCGGUAAUACGUAGGGGGCAAGCGUUAUCCGGAUUUACUGGGUUUAAAGGGUGCGUAGGCGGAUCGUUAAGUCAGUGGUCAAAUUGAGGGGCUCAAACCCUUCCCGCCAUUGAACCUGGCGUUCUUGAGUGGAAGAGAAGUAUGCGGAAUGCGUGGUGUAGCGGUGAAAUGCAUAGAUAUCACGCAGAACCCCGAUUGCGAAGGCAGCAUGCCGGCUUCCGACUGACGCUGAAGCACGAAAGCGUGGGGAUCGAACAGGAUUAGAUACCCGUGUAGUC
rnacentral:rRNA from 1 species